rnacentral:rRNA from 1 species
CGUCUAGGCGGGGGAUUAAGUUAGGUGUGAAAUCCCUGGGCUCAACCCAGGAACUGCAUCUAAAACUGGUUCUCUUGAGUUCGGGAGAGGAGAGCGGAAUUCCCGGUGUAGCGGUGAAAUGCGUAGAUAUCGGGAAGAACACCAGUGGCGAAGGCGGCUCUCUGGCCUAGAACUGACGCUGAAGCGCGAAAGCGUGGGGAGCGAACGG